AACGAACGCUGGCGGCAUGCCUAACACAUGCAAGUCGAACGAGCCCUUCGGGGUUAGUGGCGCACGGGUGCGUAACGCGUGGGAAUCUGCCCUUGGGUUCGGAAUAACAGUGAGAAAUUACUGCUAAUACCGGAUGAUGUCUUCGGACCAAAGAUUUAUCGCCCAAGGAUGAGCCCGCGUAGGAUUAGCUAGUUGGUGGGGUAAUGGCCUACCAAGGCGACGAUCCUUAGCUGGUCUGAGAGGAUGAUCAGCCACACUGGGACUGUGACACGGCCCAGACUCCUACGGGAAGCAGCAGUGGGGAAUAUUGGACAAUGGGCGAAAGCCUGAUCCAGCAAUGCCGCGUGAGUGAUGAAGGCCUUAGGGUUGUAAAGCUCUUUUACCCGGGAUGAUAAUGACAGUACCGGGAGAAUAAGCGCCGGCUAACUCCGUG
rnacentral:rRNA from 1 species